UACGAAGGGGGCGAGCGUUGUUCGGAAUUACUGGGCGUAAAGGGCGCGUAGGCGGCCGAUCAAGUUAGAUGUGAAAGUCCUGGGCUUAACCUGGGAACUGCAGUCGAGACUGUCUAGCUAGAGUAUGGGAGAGGGAAGUGGAAUUUCAGGUGUAGCGGUGAAAUGCGUAGAUAUCUGAAGGAACAUCAGUGGCGAAAGCGACUUCCUGGACCAAUACUGACGCUCAUGUGCGAAAGCGUGGGGAGCAAACAGG
rnacentral:rRNA from 1 species